UAGAGGGAGAUAAUUGCAUCAACAUGAAAAGCAAGCUGAGGUAUAGGUAUAAGAGGGGGUUCAGUGUAUGGUUUUUAAUGUCCCGCAGAGAGGGUAGUAGAAGGAGGAACACUUCAAAAGACUGCCACACUAGACUCUGUCUCUGUGUUACGAGUCUCAGGAAAAACAUUUCCUCUUUGCAGAAAAUUAUUAGUCCGUUAAUAAUAAUAAUGAAAACAGCAAAUGAGUCAUGAUGUGAAUAAGAACACUCUUGCUGUCUUUUCCUGGAACUUGAGAAACGUCACUAGUGUUUUCUCACUUCUGUGUUGCGAGUGUGCACCGCGAGGAAAUCCUGUCCACAGGAGGCUACUGUAAUGUAAAACUGUAAAUUUAAGCACCAAACUGGGUUCUAAUCAGCAGAAUACAGUACGGUAUUCAACAGUGUGAAGACUGUACAGGCUGGUCAGACGGCUCCUGUCGUCACACCAAGUGGAUUCCCUGUUAAUAUGACUUCCUGAGGGGCCCCUGGAUCCUCGACUACCAGUCAUUAAUUAUGCUUUCAGCAAAGAAAGCUCGCCUCUUAUCUGAAGUGACGCCAGCCAGACAUGGUAUCAGCACGUAUGAUACAUGUGGAACGUUUUAUUCAUGGCCAGCUGUAACAGAGUUAUUUAGAGAUAAACAGAAAGUUUUAUACUUUUGGCGGCAACCCGAUAGCUGGCGCUGGUUUGAUGCCAGCUGGCUGCAUGUCUUCUCCUCUCUCCUACCCCAUUACUUAUGCGGUUCCUUCCACUUAUUCCUAUCAAAAAGAUAAAGUUAUAUAAGCCCCAAACCCAUACAUGCUUCUUCUUCUCCCCCACUGUCUGCACUUUGUGACAUCCUCACAUCUGCUCAGUGGUGAGGAAGGCCUUCUCCUCUGACGACAGCAGCCUCUCCCAUGGCGUCAGAGUGAUAUCUGAAGCCUGCAGGCCAGCGGAGGAGAGAGAUGGAGCCCCAGCUGGACUAACUCCACCUCGCCAUCUGGGUCCAGGCCUUGUUACAAAGCACUGAGCCACGUGUGCUGCAGCAGGCACAUGGAUCCAUCCACCCAACAAUGGAUCAUUCAUGCUUGAAGGUGCUACUGUAUUCCACACAUAUAAGUCUGUGCAUAGAACCAGAGGUAACUGAAGUGAUUUUGCUUAACAGGUCAGAGUUCAUGUUGAUGUGACUCUAAGUGGGGUUUACCAUAGUCAGAGGAUACUCCAUGGUGUCCAAUUUAGUAAAUCCCUUCAAGUAUCAGAUAGCACACAGCUAAAUCUAAUUGCUUUUUAUUCUAAAUUGUGCACUGACCUGUUUGUCUUGUCUUUCCAAACUGGUGUAGAUUUAAGUAGCCUGCCUUUGCUGACAUCUGUGAGAAAUUAAGGAGCUUGGCGAAUGGUCAGUUCAGAGUAUAGUGUUUAUUAUUAACAGCUUGCUUUUAGUUGUGGCGGCGUACCAUCAGUUCCAUCAGAACCGGGUAAUAAUGACCACUUGUGCUUCAUCUCAUCUCGAAGCACCUUCGCCAUCAGACGUCUUUCAUCCAGCACAGCCUCUCUUGUGUGGCAAAUUUCUUUCUAACAUGUAAUUAUUCACAGCAGGCCACUGUUAGUUCAUGUGCCUGCUAGAUGUAUGUCACCUGUUGUUCACACAACCAAACGUCUAUACAAGGCCUGUUGCUCCCCCUACCCUUCCUGCGCCUGUGUCUUUGAUCAAUAAUUCUGUGGCCAACCAGCAGCCAUCAAUAUGGGCACCAGAGAGGGGCUCAUUGUCAUCUAAUUACAGACCUACUGCUUCAUGACCGAGCCGGUGCCUGAAUGAAGGUUCACAGAAGUGAGGGGUAACGUGAUCGAGCACCUAAUUUGUGAUUAAAUUGAGAGCACCUGUGGCAUCUGGAGGGGUCGACGCUGAGUCACACACUGAGUUCAUCUUCAGAGAAGGGAGCCAAGUGUUAGGACAAUGGCGCCGUGAGAGGGACAGUACCAUGUGUCCGAGACCAUUGUUUGACUUAAGUGAGGUGAAAAGACACCGAACACAACAGGAUAUUGAGUGUGCAUGGCCGCCUGCAUUUACGGUACGCCUCAAGCAGAUGAUUAAUAAAAGGAAAAACACAAAACAAGAACCGUGAAAAGGAGUUCUAAAAUAAACACACGAAAAACACAGAAGAACCACAAAAAUGUAAAAUUACUAUGAAGAGAUACAAAAAAACACCCACAACUGAAUAAAGUAAGGCUAAUUUAAGACAAAUAGACACAAAAUGAGUGCCUGAAUUGACCACUACAAACUGUGUGGUGUUGUUAGAUGACAACACCACACAACCAAAACAAUGGGAGCACAAACUGUGGGAAAAGAGAGGCAGAACGAAGACACAUCGAUGCGAAAUGACUGCAGAGAGAUUUCCGCAACAUGUGCGUGAUAUGCGGCAGUUGUGUGUCUCGUUCGGUCUGUGAGUCUUGCAGAAAAGACGAAGGAUCAGUAAAUAUGCAUUUGAUUUGUAAUUCUAUAGCAGAUCAGUUUGAGGCGGUCUUGUAGGUCAUAUUAAACCUACCGUGUAGUGGUGGAUGGACAAGCUUUUUUUUUUUUUCCUGAGGGAACUCACAGGAACUACCUUCUCUUUUAUUAUCUUUCCUGCUAUUAUCACUGGCAGCGCCUGCUCGCUCUCUAAUCUCCACGGCCAGCGCGGCCCGCACGCCAUCCCGGUAUAACUCCUCAUUCUCAGGGGCCCGCUCCCUCAUACAUCCAGCUUCCUCCAAGGCCAUUCUCCUCAUAUUACCUUGCAAUUCAUUCAAAAGCAUCAGAUAGCACAAAUUGAGCACUUGGUAGGCUGAGAAAUUGGAGUCACAUUUGACCCCAUCCAGACUGAAAAAAAAAAAGCACCUCACUGUAUCUACUUGUUAGUGCGCCUUAUAACCUCACUUAAAUGGAAAGGGCAAACUCAAUUAAGCAUCUCUGGCUCGCUCAUCUGUUCAUGUGUUCCUCGGUGACUUUAGCAUUAGCGCUUUCGUCUCAUCUGCAUAAAUCAUGUUUCUUCAUAUAUCAUCAUCUGAGAGUCAGAGCAGAUGCAAGUCUGUGAUUGAGUUUAGGUGACAACAGCACACACAUGCAAUCAUGACCACGACAAGAUUUAUGAAAUGGGAUAAUGAGUUCAUAUUAAUGCAUGAACAUACCCCGAGCUGAAGCUCAAACUCCAGAUGUGCUCUUCUGUGGCUUCAUUGACUCCAGUUACACCAAAGUUAUUUCAUCCCAGGAGGUGGAUUAUUUUCAUUACAGUAAAGGUUGAAAGUCAUGAAUGCAGUGCAUUAAAUUUAAAUUAAAACAGAGUACACCACUUCAAGUCAGUAAUUACAGUAUCAAAGGGGAAUCAGUCAUUGUGACUAAACAAAAGUUCCCUAAUUAAAUAAUAAUCAUCAUCAUUAACUUAUAAAUGUUCUGCUCUUUUUCUUUUGAACUAUGUUAAAGUGCCAGUCUCAAACAUUAUAAAUCAAAGAUACAUUUACCUUAUCAUUGCCAAAAAAAAAGUUACUGUAAAUGUAAUCUGUUUAAAGGGUGAGUUUGGCCAACCGAACAGACUGCUGCAGUUUCAAAAUAAAAACAUUUAAGUGGCAAACUACAGUUGACAUUUGUGAAGUAUUACCAGCAGAUUCAAAGUGGUACGGAUGUUUUCUGACAGAGGAUCAACUUCAAAUAUUCUAGGGGUUAAUGGAGCAAAAAUUAACAGCUGCAGUGAGCUGCUAGAUGAAGAGCUGCAGACAGCAGGCUGCAAACUCCCUGCCCUUGGAAUGAUUUAUGCAAUAAAGAUGUUGUUAUGCUGCAUUUGCUGUUACCACCAAUAACUACAUGUGUCAUCAAACCAACCUGGACUGACUUCUUUGAGAUGCUGUUACUUCUUUUAUUUAUUUUUUUAGCCCUAUCCUUCUCUAAACCAUCAUCUAGGCUGACAUUGUUGUGCUGCACAAAGAAACCCGUACUGCAUUUAGUAUGACUUUAGAAGAAUGUUUCAUUUAUUCAGCAGUUUGAAUGUUUGGGCCUGGAGCAUUAAUGUCUGUAUUCGCUGAGGGAAGGGGUUGGCAUUACUGAUCUAAUCAACAUUAAGUCCUUGUGAGUCUUAAUACAGUUUAAACUAACAAUAUAUUGAGACCAGAUCCGGCCCAGGGCUAAAACUGGAACCUGCGGUCUAUAACAGCAGUGUUAACAGGUCUCAGCCCAGCCAGGAGAGGAAGGGGCUUUGUCCACUCAGCUCUGAAGACACAACACCGUCUGUGCUGACACACGAGCUGCCGUUUCAUCCCCGCAGCUCAUUGUAAAUAACAGAAAAGCUCUUUCAAUGGGAAACAAACCUGCUUUGUGUUCCUCCGUCCACACAUCUAAACUACUCAAGUGCUGCACGCCGGUCUUCCUCACAGCACUGGACUCCGGGGCCAGUUCUUUUGGAGGGGCUCCGUCUGUGCUGCUAAACAUCAAAAUUGCUGGUCAGGUUUAUUGCUCCUGCUCUGUGAUGCUCAGGUUUCCCCUCAUCUGGUCUACAUAAGACACGAGUCGAAAGCACGUGUUGGCUUCAGUUUGGUGUCUGAUUUAGGAUGGAGGUGAGGAUCCAAAAAUAUUACAACACUUCUGACGUAUAGCAUCUGUCCAUGCUUAUAGAUUUCCAUGAAAAGGGUUCAAAUGAGCAUGCGUAAAAACAAAGGUACUAUUGUUCCGGUGUAAUGGUAGUUAGACUUUAAAUGAUCAAGUCUAGUAGCAAUGACUUGCCUCAUCUCUCACUUAUUGCAAGAAAAGAGACUUUGGCUACUUCCAAUCAUAUAAAUAUUCAUAAUUAUAAAUUAUUAUAAAUGACUAUAAACCCAGGUUAACAAACUGGAGGAGAUGUUGUCACACUUACAUAAAGUUGGACGAACAGUUUUUAUACAGGAGUUUUGGGCCCGAUUAAGAAUACAGAUAGAGUCUGAGAUUAGGAUUUGAAGUACACAACCCUUAAUCUAAAUUUCCUUUUAAUUGCAACAGUGCCAUGUAGGCUAAAUGUUAGGACAUUUUAUAGUUAAAAAUAAAUUUGCCACUACUCUACCACUAGAGAAUAGAAUGGAAACAUUAUUAACAUGUGCGUUAGUUACAGUACGUACUUCAAUCCCUUGCCAUUUAUUAUACUUUGUAACAUCUGACCAUAUCUGACAGGACUGUGGUGCCACGCCAGACAUUAAACGUUACUGAUUUAAAACCAUCUGCGAGGAGUUUUUUUUUUUUUUGUAUGACACACACACAUUCAUCUCAGCUCUUUUUCCCAGCAGCAGAGCCUGUCUGCAGCGCUGCAGUGUCCUGGCACGGUUUUAAUUAUUAAGUUAUCCACUAACAGCGUCUCUGUCUGGAAGAGUCCAUCUGCCAGCCAAGAAGAAGAAGAAGAAGAUACAGGAGCUGGUGAGUGAUAAAUCAUCUGAACCGUGAGAUGAAAUUCUACUUUUUUUUCUCACUUUUAUUUGCAUUUUAAGUUGUGUACAUGUGUGCAUCUGUCUCGUGCCCAGAGUCAAGAGACUUUAAGGUUAAGAGAGCAGCAAACAUGUACACAACUUAAAACACAAAUAAAAGUGAAAAAGCCUUUUGACUCUGUGCAUCAAAGUGCACUGUGCUUUAUCAUAGGUGAUAAGGUUCUCAAUCAAUUUGCAUCUUAUAUGAAAAAGUGCUGCAUAAAGACAUUACUGCAACACUGGAACUACAAUCUCUGCAUUUCUCCUUGUAAUUGCAUUAUUUAAUAUUUGUGUGUGAUUUAUAAGACAUUUUUUUCUGUUCCUGUUUCCUAAGCGCUGGUCUAUCUUGUGAAAGAGAUGCUUGUAUCAAUGGGACGACGCGUUUAAAUAUAGGAUUAAAUAAAAAGUUUUGAUGCUGUAUGCGGGUGAAGAUAUGUUUCACUUGCAGCAUCCGUCUAACAGUAUGCAUAUGUGUAGCCAUGGUAUGGUGAAGUGCUUUGGCAGAGAACCUUUAAACCAUCAAACAGCAGCGUGUUUGUUUUAAAUCCUUAAGUGUCGAUGGAGAACCAUCAGUCCAGCCGAGAGUUGACAGUAUGGGUCAUCAAAGAGCCUUUACUGCUACCGUGUCUCACAAAAAACUCCAAACAAUGGCAGGAAGGGGCUGCAAGUCUUCAGGAGAUGAGCCACACACAAACAUCUUCAAGCAGGAUUCAUCAGACUGGCGCUGGGGUUGAGGGGGGUCCAUCCAUUUCCUGUUUUUACCUCCCGGCGAAGCGGCGACAAGGGCGUGCGUGUGCCACCGUCGCUAAUGACUUAAGACUUGUAAGGCGCAGCUAACACAAUCAUUCAAUGCUCUAUUAUGCCCAGCAGAAUGGAAGUGGUGCAGACUUCCCUGGAUUUGCGCAUAUUGUGUAUUGGCGGCAACGUCAUCUCGUCAUUAGUGGUGACCAGAAAUGAUGCCAGUGACCGUGUGUCUCCAGCUACCGACACAAUGGUUUGUUAACAGUCUCCCAACUCAGAGGACAUCCUCCCCAUAUGGCCGAGAGAGCCUGGCUCCAAUACUAAUCUGCUCCCACUGUUUAUAAAAUAAACAGGCCCCUGAACACUAACCUACAGCCCGCCCACUCCUGCACCCUCUACUCUACAUCUGGCUGACCUUUGACCUGAGCCGUUUGAACAGUGUUUCCUGUCCAGUGCAAUGUGAAUACAGUGUAAUGGCAAAAUCAACACUGUAGACAUUUUUUUAGGAGGGGAUUACCAACACAUCCGCGCGGAGGUGGCACAUGUGGCAGCCGCCAUCGCACACAUGAGCACAAAAAAAAAAUUAAAAAUGGAGGACUCAUGCUAGGCUGUAAACAAGCACUCAUUUAGAUAAGGCUCUGUUUAGUGGUGUUAGGUUUCUUCUAAUGACGAAAUCCGUGGUAUUCUUUUUUCCAAAACAAGGAUCUUCACGCACACAUCUCCAGCAGACACCCCCGCCCCGUCUUGGUGGGAGCCUUCUAGGCCCGCUGGUGGAGGACUGAGAAGAGAUAAGCCCGUGGUCGGCCUCCAUCAACACAUGAGGCUUUCCAAAGCGAGUAGAGUUACAGACAGGCACUCCUCUGGGGCUCAGUGGGAGUGGGAGCGGGCUGGGACGGAGCUGCUCAGACAUUGGUAGGUUGUUAAUCUGCCCCCAGCCGGCCUGCUGAUGCCCACCAUCUGUGUCUGUAACUCAUCACCCCGCCGCCAGGAGCCUCCGCAGGCACACACACAAGUAAACAAACUCCCAGAGAGAGCCAUUUAACGGCUAAUUCUCUACCUGGCUUAGGUAAUUGCUGAUUAUCAGCGCCACCCAAAAAGCGGAGGACGGGAGCUAGCGGAGACAUAGGGUAUAAGGGGGAGCCAGAUGUGAGAAGGGGACCAUUAACUUUCGGGUUGUUUCAUCGUCCUCAUUAAGAGGGGCAUUUGUGCCAAGCCAAACAGAAAUAUAGCUCAAUCAGGACACAAGUAUGUGAAGAAACUACUGUGACAGGUUUAAUUACCACCAGCAGGGAUUCUAGUCAACAGACUUUCGGGAGUGUCAGGAAAACUGUGGGCUGCUGGUUAUGCUUCAUUUACUUGACAAGACUUCACAGUCAUAAUUGCGCAGGCCUCUGGCUCCACUGAGCCAGGGGAUGUAAAGGGUUAAGAGGUCAGGAGGAUGGGCGCAGCACAGGGGUGGGGGGACAAACAGGCGGAGAUUAAGCGAAACGCCUGAAACUCCUCAAGGAGUAUGACAGCCGCACAGGUGUGCAGCACUUACCCCCACGUAACCCCCACACACACCCAUCGUUUGGGGCUGAAGUAUCCCUUGGGCGUAGCAGCAGGCAGGUGAUUAGCAGAUACAAUUACUAUGCCUCACUUAGCUUUGCACCGUUCAGUCUCGUGGCUGAAUCUUACUGACAGAGACAAGUCGGUCGCUCUAUGUGAACUGAAGGCUGAGCUGAAUGACUAACUUUUUAAAAAUCUGUGCGAAAUAGUUGGACGGUGAUGCUGUGUCAUUUCUGUUUUGUGUAAGAGGUGAAGCGAAGGCUAUCAGUGCAUCUAUUGUUUUUUUUUGUAACAAAAGAGAUCAGAUAUUUUCUCAGAAACAUCGCAAUUGUUUCAAUGUAUUCAAAGUAUGUAUGUAGGGUUGAGUGUUUUUUUCUCAUGGCUGUUUCCAAUCCAAUGUUACUCACCUCGAGGGUCUUUUCAGUUCAGCACCCCCCCUCCUCAACCCAGUAAUUUUCAUACAGUCCCUAAUGCGGUGCGGCGCGUCCACAGGGAGUAGCUCGAACGAGAGCUGUGAUGACAUUUAAAGCACUUUGCUAAAUGCACUCAUGAGAAUUUUUGGGUGUUAUUCCAUGUUAAAUUUACCCGCUAAGUAUCAUCCAUGUCUGUAGCCAUUUGGACACCCUAAAUAGAAGUACGCUUAUACAAUGGAAACAGCACUGGUGCCAAAACUGCACUUCCAACACAGGCAAACUCUAGCCUAUGUUACAGGAUAGUUGAGACUGCAGGCCCCGCUCCAGACUAAAAAACAUUAACAGGUAUUUAUAACAUUAUUCAGCAGCGGCCUCCUUUUGGGAUGAUUUACAAUAGCUCACAGGGGCCAAACGAUUGAAAACAUUUAUGUGGGAGCUGUUAUGUUUUCAUCCAGACGAGACCUACACGCCCAGGCAACCAGUAUUCAAACUACACUAUAUUAAAAAGAAAAAGUAGACACAGGUAAUUUGGUCUGGAUGUGGACAAGUGCCAAGUCGUCCAUAAUGUUAAGGGAGGAAGAUAAAAGUGAGGGCUUUUCCUCUGGCAGAUGAACAUAAGAGGUCCACACAGAAAGAACAACACAGCCAUGAUUCAAUUAUGCGCCCUGGAACCCAACACACGGAUCCCUCUUCUUAGUGCCUCCUGCACGAAGACUAAUGUUUUCCCUAGGCGCAAUAAAUAAUGUUUUAUUCCCUCUGCCACGGAAAGUUCACCUGCACGGACGAUCACGGUGUCUGCCCUCGUAUUUGUUACUGCGGCCUUUUAAUUUGACCUGAGUCAACCUGUCAUGCUCCAUCAAACGUGGGAAUCGGAUACCUCAGGAACACAGGCGCCUUUGCUUUACGUUAUGCCCCACUACCACCACCACCACCACCACCACUGCCGCCGCCCAGUGCCUCAACACACUGAGCCUGGGAGAAAGUCACCCGCAUCACAUGAAUCAAGCACUGUGACAGGGGUCCGUUGGGUCUGGGAUCACACGGAGGAUCACAAGUCUCUCUUUUUACUGCUCCCUCUCCCGUCUCUGUUAGCUGGGGAUGAGAGAGGCGGGAUGGCCGUCUAAAGGCAUAUAUUUCCGUUGAUGGAGAGAUAAAUCAGAUCAUUUCUGGAGUAAGGAAGAGAGCACAGAGGGAGCCUUCUUGGUCACCCCCCUUUGAGAUGUAAAUGGCACGGUGGCACUGAAAGAGGGCCAGGUGUCCGAUGCAAAGAGGGAAAGCGUGACGGUGCAUGCAUUCCUCAGGGACCUAGACCAUUAACUGUUGCCGUGCCUCGUGUGCGCAAACAUCAGAUCUCAUAAUGGCCUGUAAUGGCCCUGGUGGACACACUUUAUAAGUAUGAUUAAUAGCUAUUGACGGGGUUCCCCUUCAAGGCAGAUAGACAAUACUCAUGUCGACACAGAAUACAGCAGAUUAAGUAGCAACUACCACUGUGACAAUUUCCAAAUGACGUGUAACUUGCCGCCUUCUGUUCAUCGCCGCACUGAACCCUUGACGACCAGAGGUCAACAGCUGCAGCUCACACCUUGCUGGACGAUUAGAAAUCAGUUAGUGGGCUUAGAGGGGUCAUCAAGUCAGCAGUUUGCAGUGAACUCUGUAAAGCCUGAGGCAAAAACCUCAAAUAUCCCACACCUCAAGGUGGAGACAAGAGGCAUUAGGCAGCUCAAAUAGUGAAUUAAGAAAAGAAUAGCAACCCGUUAUUAGUCCAAACGAGGAGAGGGAGUGGGAAUGGCCUCUUUGGGAAGGGUUAGGGGUUCAAGCUGAAGAAAAAGCCUUAAAGGAGAAAGGUCAAAUAUGUCGUAGAAACACUCCUACAGCAGCUUUACAAUCUUCCCUUCAUUUCUGGGAUGCCCAGACAUACAGACACCAGACCAUGGACUCCCAUUUGAUAAGACCUUGCACCAUGUCGUCCUGUCUUAGAUGAUGUAUUUGACAUGAUGCAGAAUGAAACCGUUACACAGUUCUCCCAUUAUAGUAUCAGUGAUAAUGAAAAUUAACUAAUCUUCCGCUCUUAGACCAACACACUGAGAACAAUGCAACGUAGACAUUAGCUAGUGGUGGAGUUAUUCCACCCCAAAUUGAACUAAUAAAAAACAAAUGAACAACACAAGAAAAAAACCCAAUGUGUUUUAUGUGUCCGGACAUUCAGUCUAAUCCUAAAAAGUGAGUGGCAGGAUGCAAAGGGAAUUUUUAUUUAAAAGUUGACUGACAGUUUCCUAAGAACAUGUUUAUAAUUGUAUAAUAUAAGAUGAAGUCCAUCCAUUAAAACCCUUUAGUCCACCCCACCGUGUUGUUAGACAUGCUGUCUGAUUUCUUGAUAGUGUAUUUUUUUUUUAAGCCAGAUAUAUUUGUAUACACAUUGUAUUUAGUAAAAGGCAACUAUUACUACCAGAGGGGAACAAAUGAUAAUUUCAUUAUCAUCAAAAUAGUUUUAUUCUUUAGUAAAGAAAGUGAGCUUACUUUGAAAUUUGUUUGUACAUUGUCUACAUGCAGGUAAUUUAUGAGAAUAUUGACCAUAAUGCAUUUCUUACUAACAGCUUAUUAAAAUUAAUAUGCAGCUAAAUGGAAAAUCUAGAGCUUUUAUUUCUAAAUGCCACUUUGUGGCGCUUUUUAGAUUAGUGUUCUAAGCUAAACUAUUAGCUGGUUAUAUGUUAGUAGGAAGAUCACCGAUAUAAAGUACUGAUAUCAAUACAUUCUCUGGACUCAGAAAUAAGAAGUAAACCACUUUAGGUUAUGGCUCUGGACAAAUUUACGGAAAAAUAAAUAGUGGGCAAAAAUGGUCACAUGUAUUUGUACAUCUUUAUUCAAAAGUAGAGAUGUCACGUCACCAUUAGCUGUGGCGCGCUUCAACAUGUUAUGGAAAAAUGUAGUUAAGGUAACUGCUGAUCCGUGUUACAUGUGCUGCAACAUUAAUAAACGUGUACAGUAAUGAAGACAUCUUGUUUUGUCACACAUUGUGAAACACUGCCUCGUUUCGAAGCGAUGACUGUGGUGCCCCAUCUGCUGGUGAACACAAGACACUGCACAGGUAGAAAGCUUAACAUGUCCAAAGACUCUUGUUAUACAAUGCAACAGAAAUGCUUUAAGUUGGCUUUACGCUAAAUUUAACAUUAAACUCAUGCCCCGUGGUUGUCAACUAUCUCUUUCAGAAGGCUAGUGUAAAUGGCGAAAAAUAAUACCCAUCAGUCUUCUCAGAUUAACCUUUUUCUCCUAGUGUUACAAAUAUUGACCUAAAGUGGACUGGUCCCAGACAGCUUUUGCCAUUUCUGUAACUGCUCAAUAAAAUAUAGCAAUAAACGUUGAGAAACAGAUUUCAAAUUACAAAACAGUUAUUUUUUACAUGAAAUAUAUCUACACAGAGCAUUAAAUUAAAAUGUAACAUGAGUGAAAUGUGAUACAAGCGACUUAAAACUACAGAGUACAGGUGAGUGGCUGCUUGCUAAACGUCAUCCUUUUAAUCCCCACUGCUGUUUAUAACUGACCUACACAUGCAGAAUUAUACACACAAACACAUUUCAUAUGUGUGCUCGUGUUUGUCAAAACUCCCUUUGCGACUGUUACGCAAGUUAGAAAAAGAUUAAGACAUA